rnacentral:rRNA from 1 species
UGUGUAGGCGGUUCUUUAAGUUUGGUGUGAAGUCUCCCGGCUCAACUGGGAGGGAGCGCCGAAUACUGAGGGACUAGAGUACGGGAGAGGAAAGUGGAAUUCCUGGUGUAGCGGUGAAAUGCGUAGAUAUCAGGAGGAACACCGGUGGUGUAGACGGCUUUCUGGACCGACACUGACGCUGAGACACGAAAGCGUGGGUAGCAAACAGGAUUAGAUACCCUGGUAGUCCACGCCCUAAACGAUGCAUAUUUGGUGUGGGCAGUUCAUUCUGUCCGUGCCGGAGCUAACGCGUUAAAUAUGCCGCCUGGGGAGUACAGUCGCAAGGCUGAA